ACAGAGGUGGCUAGCGUUGUUCGGAUUUACUGGGCGUAAAGGAUGCGUAGGUGGCUUUGUAUGUCAGAUGUGAAAUUUCAUUGCUCAACGAUGAAAGUGCAUUUGAAACUACUUGGCUUGAGUAUAGGAGAGGAGCAUGGAAUUCUUGGUGUAGCGGUGAAAUGCGUAGAUAUCAAGAAGAACACCGGAGGCGAAGGCGAUGCUCUAGAAUGAUACUGACACUGAGGCAUGAAAGCUGGGGGAGCAAACAG
rnacentral:rRNA from 1 species